AGUAUUAAAUGAUACACACCCAAAUUUAACUAGAGAAUGUUGGUUAUGUUAUAACAUAAACCCACCCUUUUAUGAGGCCAUAGGUUCCACAGCAGAACCAAAAAGAGUAAAUGGCACUAAUCCUGCUGCCUGUUUAUGGAAAUCGGGAAGAGAAAACACUCCAGGAAUAACAUUAUCUAGAGUCACUGGAAAAGGGAAUAGUGAAGAAAGGUUACAGGAAGAUAAGGAAAAGACCGAACGAGCAGACCCAUAGACCGAUGAAGGAGCAUGCGUAGAAAGACCCGAGGAAGGACACGUCAUCGGGGAAGCCCGGAGAGCCGGACUGAUUAAAAGGAGACACACGAAAAACGGAGGCACGGCCGCGGAAAAGCGGGAUCGCUUUCCGGCUGUCCAGCGCUGUAUUUUGCUUAUUGCUUGCUUGCUAUAAUUAAUAAAAUUUCCCUUUAUUAACUUUAAA